ACUGGAUAAUUUUUUGUUAUGUUAUGCAACAUUCUUUCAAACUAUAGACAUUUGAGAACCAGUUUUCAUACACAACUCUUAAGCAAAUACUCAUAAUCUCAUCCUGCAAAGAGAAACUCAGCAAAAAAUUGUUUAAAAUCCAUAUGCUACAUAAGGAAAUUUACCUGGAGACAUUCUACCCUUUACUGAAAAUAGGCUAUACAAAGGUGAUGUUAAGGUGCACAUAUUCCUCACAUACUGGAAGCUUUAAGAGGGCUCAAAGCUAUUAAUAAUUUCCAAUUUGCAGCCCUCUCUUAAUGCUACUUCCUUUAACUUUUGGGUUGACUCCCAGGACUUUCAGAAAGUGAAUAGACUACCUGUGUGUAAGAGAUUUUGGAUAAGGCUGCAACUGACUUCAUUGUUUGCAUUUUUUGGUCUGCAUUUCCUGCUAAUGUGAUUUGAAUAAGCCAAUUACAUUGAAAUUUGGUCCAUGGUCAUGCAAAUAAGUUCAUGAGUGCGGAUCUCUCUCUUCUGUGGAUUUAAGUGCUCCGAAGUGAUUCCAAAUGAAGUCAAACAGUUGGGAUUUUUUCAGUAAAUUAUAUUCCAAGCAAAGAACAACAAUCUCUGUUCUCACUGAGGGAGACAUUCCUGAGACACCACAGUAGUGCUCCAUGUGCAAAUGCUGAAUUCCUCAAUUAGUCUGUAAACAAUGGAGAUGUGGGCUAAAUGGAAAGAUUUGCCAAAUUUGCUGAGUUAUGAAGUACCCUAGAAAAUGUGUGAUUACAAAACAAGCUUGUUUUACAUAGGAGGAUUUCUGACACCAUAGUGACAGCAAUAACACAAACCUCAAAGUAAGUAGAUCAUUGUUUAU